AGUGGUUGAGGGCAGUAUAAGCUACAAUUUCCUCGCCUUUUACUAGGAAAUUCCGUGUUCUGUCCUUACCUCAAUACCACAAUGCGAAUUUUUCAAAAUAACUGAACUUCGUGUUC
rnacentral:snRNA from 1 species